GUCCCCAUCGUCUAACGGUUAGGACACCGCCCUUUCAAGGCGGAAAUACGAGUUCGAUUCUCGUUGGGGGUA
rfam:Atopobium vaginae PB189-T1-4 contig00018, whole genome shotgun sequence.